UACGGGGGGGGCAAGCGUUGUUCGGAAUUACUGGGCGUAAAGGGCUCGUAGGCGGCCAACUAAGUCAGACGUGAAAUCCCCAGGCUCAACCUGGGAACUGCGUCUGAUACUGGAUGGCUUGAGUUCGGGAGAGGGAUGCGGAAUUCCAGGUGUAGCGGUGAAAUGCGUAGAUAUCUGGAGGAACACCGGUGGCGAAGGCGGCAUCCUGGACCGGCACUGACACUGAGGAGCGAAAGCCAGGGGAGCAAACGGG
rnacentral:rRNA from 1 species